rnacentral:misc_RNA from 1 species
AGGCACACACGCACACGUGUGUGCUCGAUCACCUGUCAGACACCAACGCGACAGCAUUCGAAUCGGGACGAGGCGGUGUAGCCGCGAUCGCCACACCCAUCUUGCAGCUCAAAGAGCCCAAAACAUUACAGUAAAUACGGGAAAGGAACAAUCAUCAUACAAACUCAGUCUCUGAGGUAGCCGUUUUACCAUCACCGCAACAACCCCUCAUCGGCCCCGUCCCCUGCUCCUACUCAUUUUGCUUCGCAUCCAUGUACAAGACGCGCACACCCGCGCAUCGUCGUUCUGGCCAGUAACCUGCGCCUAUCACCAUACUUCCUCUGCUGCUGCUGACUCAACGGCUAUAGGCCAUCAGCGCAGUGCAAGAUUUGCGUCAUCGUAUGCGAGUGUCUCGCCGCGCCUUCGGUGCUCUUCUCCGCGCUCGUUCCCUUCUUCUUUACUCCCGCAAGAACGACACGACGACGAUGAGCUCUCAAGCGCAGCAGCGCGCGCCGGCCUACGCUCCGCGCGGCACCCAUGCCGAGCGGCUCGCGGCCGCGGACCGGGAGGCCGCUGCCCGAUGGGACUCCUCGACGAACUGCACAUGGUAUCCCGACUACCACCUUGCACCGCACACGGGGUGGAUGAACGACCCAACGGGGCUGGUGCACUUCCGCGAUCACUACCACGUUUUUUACCAGUACCACCCGUACAGUGCCGAGUGGGGUCCAAUGCACUGGGGCCACUUGACGAGCGAGGAUCUUGUGCACUGGCAGCACGAAAAGGCGGCGCUGGCACCAGGAGACGCGUGUGAUCGCGACGGCUGCUUCUCUGGCACCGCCGUCGUGCACGAAGACAGGAUGUACGUCUUCUAUACGGGCCACUUCGUGCUUGAGGCGGCGACGCCAAGCAACCCGGACGCCAUCUUUGAGCAGCAGUGCGUCGCCGUCAGCAGCGACGGCGUGAACUUCGAGAAGCUCGGCGCCGUCGUGCGCCCGCCACCGGGGUACGUGCACUUCCGUGACCCGAAGGUGUGGCAGCAGGACGGGCGGUGGUGGAUGGUGUGUGGUGCCCGUGACGUGACGAAGGACCUUGGCCAGCUGCUGCUCUUCGCCACAGAAGACCUGCUUAAGUGGGACGACACGAACUGGCAGGUGCUGGGGAUGACGGAGGACAAGAACGUGUUCAUGUGGGAGUGCCCCGAUUACUUUACGAUCGGCAGCCGCGAGGAUAUGAAGCUGCUUCUUUUCUGCCCUCAAGGGAAAAAGGCCAGCGAGUACAGCUACCGCAAUCGGUUCCAGAACGGGUAUACCGUCGGGCAGUGGACGCCUGGCGGCCCGUGGAGGGUGCAGCGGGAGUUCCGUGAGCUUGAUCGCGGCCAUGACUUCUACGCAGCACAGACUUUCCUCGCCGCCGAUGGCCAGAGGAGAAUGUUGAUGGCGUGGUGCAACAUGUGGGAGAGCCCCAUGCCGACAAAGCAGUAUGGCUGGAGCGGCUGCCUGACGCUGCCGCGGGAGCUAAGCUAUAAUGAGGCAACAGGACAGCUUCGAAUGCUGCCGGCGCGUGAGCUGGUCGGCCUGCGUACUCCUGAGAUGAUGAUUGUGCCUACCCUCCUCGUAGAGAAUAACAGCGAUGCACAGAUCCUCGCGAACUGCACUGCCUACGAGCUCGAUAUUGCGUUCAACAUGGAAACGAGCACGGCGGAGAAGUACGGGCUGUGGCUCGGCUCAGGGGCAGAGCUGUACGUGGACGCGCAGUCGAAACGGCUGGUGCUGAACCGCCACUACCCGCAACACAUGCUGAGUGGGUAUCGCUCCUGCGAGAUGCCGACGGGUUUGCUUCUGCAGCUGCACGUGUUCAUUGACCGCUCGUCGAUUGAGGUGUUCGUGAACAACGGCGAGGCCACCUUCUCUUCCCGCGUCUUCCCGGACGAGGGCGACCGGGCACUGCGCGUCUUCUCGGUCAACGGGACUGCGGACAUGGUGGGCGGUACCAUGUGGAAGCUGAAGGCGACGGUGAGGCACUGAGCCCUCCUGCCCUGCGUGAGAAGGCGUGCGCCUGCGUGACGCUCGACCUCGUCGGCAGUGUCGCGCACCGAACGAUUGGCGCCUCCUUCUUUCGCUUUGCCCGUCUCGUCCGCCCGCCCGCCCGCCCCUCCGGUGCACACGCCGUGGCGAUCCCAUCGCCCGCUGGACAACUCCGCCCUCCCCCUCCUUGUGCCUUCCGCUCUUCUCGCUGCAGCCGCAAUCCGUGGCCGCGCUACGUGAAACGGGCGAAACACGCAAAAGGGCCGAGGGGGGGGGACGGAGAGGAAGGCCCGAAAGCCCCCUCUGCGCGCGUGUGUGUGCACUCGGGGAGCGUGCUGUCGUCGCUGCUUUCGAUUUGCCGUUGCACACUCGUUGUCGCAUCUCUUUUCCGGCUUCCGGGGGAACGGCAGAGGCCUGCACCAGCGCACGCAUGCCCCGCAUGCACUUGUGUGUGUGUACGGAUGCAUGCAUGGGUCUCUGCAUUUGAGUGUGCGCAUCUCUGUGCCUCUAUUCUUCAUUCUUUUCGUACCACUUUUUCGUUUCCGCCUGAUGCUGCCGGCCACCUUGGCGCGGCAUCAGGGACCAGUGCCCACUCUGUGGGGCAGCCCAGCAGCCCUUCCCCCAUCCCCCUGCCGAUGCCGAGCCACCUUCCGGUGGUGACAGUUUCAAGCCCCGGACGGCGGCGCGUCGGAGCGACCUGCGCCAGCGCACACGUCUGUACCGUCCAGAUGAUGGGCAGCGUGCCAGCGUGGCUGGCGCGUAUCCCGCCCCCCGCCCUCGCACUGCCCACUGGUGCGGGGCCGGCGUGCCACCGCGUACGGGCUGCACCACGUGGGUGGCGACUGGUGGCACGAUGGGAGCGGCUGCGCGGCGGCCUGCGAGGCGGCGGGUGCUGUGUAGAGUUUGAGGCAGAGGCGGCGCUGGGCGGACUGAGUCGGCGCAUUGCUGUACCGCGUGUGCGCCUACGGCUGCAGUGCAGGAGGCGAUGGGGGCCUGUGGCAGGCCGGCGGGCGGGCGGCGGCUCGGGCGUGGCGUUGGCCGCACGCUUGUCUGGGCAGCGAGUGGGUGCGCUGAGGACGCCGGAGAGAGCAACUCCUGCCUGUGCUCCUCUUCUUCUCACCUUUGUUUUCUUUCGUCGUAUUCUUUCGAGUGUCUUCCGGUGCUUUUCCAUUCCGUGCACGGUCCCGUUCUCUCCUCUCUCUCUGCAUCUGAUUGUCUCGCCGCUGCGCUUCCUCCGCAGAGGCGAUGAGCAAGCGUCGUGCAUCGGCGGGUGCGCAGAUGAUUUACCGCCAUGUUGGCGUCCCUCCCUCCCUCUUUGUUGUUCACCACGUCUCACACACA